CCUACGGGUGGCAGCAGUGAGGAAUAUUGGUCAAUGGGCGCGAGCCUGAACCAGCCAAGUAGCGUGAAGGAUGACUGCCCUACGGGUUGUAAACUUCUUUUAUAAAGGAAUAAAGUGAGGCACGUGUGCCUUUUUGUAUGUACUUUAUGUAUAAGGAACGGCUAACUCCGUGCCAGCAGCCGCGGUAAUACGGAGGAUCCGAGCGUUAUCCGGAUUUAUUGGGUUUAAAGGGAGCGUAGAUGGGUUGUUAAGUCAGUUGUGAAAGUUUGCGGCUCAACCGUAAAAUUGCAGUUGAUACUGGCGGUCUUGAGUGCAGUUGAGGUAGGCGGAAUUCGUGGUGUAGCGGUGAAAUGCAUAGAUAUCACGAAGAACUCCGAUUGCGAAGGCAGCUUACUAAACUGCCACUGACAUUGAUGCUCGAAAGUGUGGGUAUCAAACAGGAUUAGAUACCCCUGUAGUC
rnacentral:rRNA from 1 species